CCCUUGCACCCCAACUCUGCCUGAGGGGCUCCUUGGGCUUCUCCAGGCUUCCGCAGCCAACUGUCAUACUGGCAGUGUUUGCCCAUCUCCUGGCCAGCUCAGGGGCCUCCAGAGGGCAGGGACCACAUCUCCUGCCAGCAGCGUGGGGUGCCACGGGUGCUGAAGCAGGAGCUCCAAGCAGGCAGUCACCAGGGGCCCCUUGGACACCCUCUUUCCUCUUCCUAGGACCAUGCCACCUGUGAGCUUGAGGAAGAAAGUGUGAAGGAGGGUCUCACCUCACCCUGGACCAGUGUAAGGACAGCUAUGCAGUCCUGACCUCCAGAGUCCACAGUGGUGAAGGAGGGGCAUAGAAGGCCCCAGCAUGGGCUUUUGGAAGUGGGAUUCAGCUGGCAAGACUAUGACCCUGCAUCUCCAGCUUCAAUCCAGACACUCAAGAGUCUGUAGCCUGGUGCAUCCACCCCACAGCCCCUUGAGUCCCUUUCCCACCACCAUGCUGACAUCCCCAUCUCGCUCAGUCACUCAGAGCAGGCAUUAUAUUUCCUGUUGGCCAAGCAGCAAAUGCCAUCUGUGCUCUCUUCCGGAUCCCUAUUCUCCAAACACCUAAUUUAGCCCCUCUCACCUUGGAAAUUUCUGUGACACUCCCAGACUCUGUCCCCAUUCACCUAGGGCCUGAUGGGCACAUCUAGCCAACUGGUUCUCCAGGGUCUUCUUUGGGAACAGUCCAGAACCCUUGGCCUGCAGGCCUCACCUCUGCCCCAGGGUUCAGCUUCCUAUUUCCCUGUGUUUCUUCAGUGUUUGAGCACCACUGAGCUGUCACCUCUGCUCAGGAGCACCACUCCUCAUAUCACAAUUCCAUGGUCCCAAUUAACAGUUGUGUAGCAACUGUUGCAUUUGGGAGUCCUUUCCUCCAUUAAAAAAAAUUUUUUUAAA